rnacentral:lncRNA from 10 species
GGGAGAUUCUCCUGGGUUACCUGGCUGGGUCUGAUGUAAUCACAGGAGUCCUCAUUAGAGGGAAGCAGAAAGACCAAAGUCAGAGACGGAGAUGUGGCCGUAGAAGCAGAGGUCCAUGUGCUGCGGGGCCAUGAGCCAAGGAACCCACGCCGCCUCUGGGAACUGGGAAAGGCAAGGGAGCAACGUCUCCCUGGAGCUCCAGAGUGAGCCAGCCCUGAUGACACCGUGACUUCAGCCCUCGGAGACUGACUGUGGACAUCGGACCUCUGUCACUUACACAUGGUCUCCUGUGGUUCUCUAGUCCUUCUGGAG